UACGUAGGGUGCAAGCGUUGUCCGGAAUUAUUGGGCGUAAAGAGCUCGUAGGCGGUCUGUCACGUCGGCUGUGAAAACGCGGGGCUCAACUCCGCGCCUGCAGUGGGUACGGGCAGACUAGAGUGGCAGUAGGGGAGACUGGAAUUCCUGGUGUAGCGGUGGAAUGCGCAGAUAUCAGGAGGAACACCGGUGGCGAAGGCGGGUCUCUGGGCUGUAACUGACGCUGAGGAGCGAAAGCGUGGGUAGCGAACAGG
rnacentral:rRNA from 1 species